rnacentral:tRNA from 1 species
GGUUUUAUACUUUAAUUAAAAGGUCUGAUUUGCAAUUAGAAAAUAAGAUUUUUAUCUUUAAAACCG